AUGCCUUUAUGGCUGCAGCAGGUCUGUGUGGUGCAAGGAACAGCUUUGGGCCCCUCAGGUGAGGCUGCUAUAAAGUGUCGGCACUGUGGGGAAAUAAUCCUGCUUAUUGAUAAACAUGUUAAACUUCUAGUGAGGAUAGCUCUUCCAAGGAGAGCCAGGAAAGCCUGCAGGAAUCCAGGCUUCUUCUCUGAAGGUAGGCAGAUGAGAGCAACUCAUAAAUUUGGGGUUCAGUGGGGGUUGUUUUGCUUUGGUUUAAGGCAAGCUCACAUCCCCAGUUCUGUUCGAUACAAGGCCCCCAAACUACACUGACCACAUCUGAGCUGUUCUGGAUUCUCUGGCCCUAUCAGGAAAGUAAAAGAGAUUUUGUUCUGCUGAGCAGGAGGUAGCCACCCCAACAAUCAAAUCAGUCAUGUUCAGUGACAAGAGUGCGUACAGACUGAAUAAGUUGUGACUCUGUUUUCCUUAGCACUGGAUUAUCCAUGUUUCCUGUGCUUGCCAUAGCUCCUUCUGAUGCCAUAUCUCCCUCCCUGUUUAGUAUUCCCUGACCAGCAUUGCCAGCAAUCCUUUCUGUCCUCAGCCUCUUGACCUGACUUUGAUAUCACCACAUGAUUGGAAACUCUCUCUGAGUAAGAGGCAAGGGAUCAAUGUUUCCAGGGAAUGAGUUUCUCUUUAAAGCUGUUACAGAUCUUUCUGUGGCUUCUCUUGACAUCAGUUCUGCUCUCUUUCAAACAUAUGCAUUAAUUCAAGAAAGCAGAGGCUGUGGCAGCCUCAGCUACAGAGAUCUGACUCAUCCCAGCUGCUAUCUGUGCAUGUAGGUCACGUGGAAUGACAUCCAUUAGGAUGCACAGUACAGUAUAUUCACUCCAAGGACCAGUGACUCCUGCUUUGCAUGCAGUGCUUGGGGAGGAAGCAAAGUAAGAGUUCAUAACAAGCUUUAAAUGAACAGAAACCUAGACAUCCCCCUACUUUCCCAAACACCAAGGAGUGUGAGUCAUAUUUCAUUCUGGCAAGUUACUACUUUCCACACCAAGCUCAUACAAGGUGUUCCCAGAGCUUGUUAUCUCAGAAUUUCACUUUAUUUUCAUGUGUCUGUGCUGAGACCCCAGAGGGACAAGGUUAGACCUUAGAGGGGUCUGAGCACAGCUAAGAAAAGAUAUGGUAUGCCCUCAGCUGUAGGACAUUUCUCACUACUCUCUGAACCACUGUUGGGAUUUAAACAGAUGAAAACAACAAACAGAACAAAACAAAGAGCGCUGCUCUUGGUGGGCUACUCUUCAGUGGCACAAUUCACACUGAGGGAUCAUUGUCC
rnacentral:lncRNA from 1 species